rnacentral:lncRNA from 1 species
UAAUUGACAGAAGAUUUUGAGGCUCUGGCAUUUGGUGCUCUGAAAUGGAGGUGGAUUCCAAAGAAAGAACAAAAAAGAGGGAAAGGGGAAGAUAAAGAAAGAGAGAAAGAAGGAGGUGGAAAAGAAGAAAACAAGAAAGAGGAAGAGGAGGAUGAAAAAGAAGAAGAAAGAAGGAGAAAAAGGAGAGGGGAUAAGAAAGGAGGAAGAAAAAGCAGAGAAGGAGAAGCUUCAAUAAGAGGACCACACAAAGAGUUGAAUUACACACAGAGUUGAGGUAUGCAGUUUGCUGAAGGAUGGCUGAGAGAUAGAAACUUACAGAAAUAAAUCAGAGAGGACACAAACGAAUGAAAAAACAUUCCAUGCUCAUGAAUGGGGAGAAUCAAUAUCAUGAAAAUGGCUAUACUGCCAAAAGUAAUUUUUAGAUUCAGUGCUAUUCCCAUCAAGCUAUCAUUGACUUUCAUCACAGAAUUAGAAAAAAAAUUACUUUAAGUUCAUAUGGAACCAAAAAAGAGCUCAUAUAGCCAAGACAAUCCUAAGCAAAAAGAACAAAGCUGAAGGCAUCACGCUACCUGACUUCAAACUACACUACAAAGCUACAGUAACCCGUACAGCAUGGUACUGGUACCAAAACAGAUAUAUAGACCAAUGGAACAGAACAGAGGCCUCAGAAAAAAACUUACACGUCUACAACCAUCUGAUCUUUG